UUAUGAUAUUCUAUGGCGAAUUGUAAAAGAAAUAAGCUAAUCCAUUCAGUGGUUUAGCCACAGGAGUCAUUUUUCGUUUUUCUAAUUUACAACAUCAUGUGUAAAGCAGAGAUAAAGUUAGGAGUAUCGAAUGUUUUGAUCAGUUGACAGCUGUUAGUUUUCAAGGGAGAGUUUCAAUUGUUUGGAAUGACUGACUUUUAUAUGGUGUUUUAAUUUUCGCACAUUUUUAUUCUAUUUACUUUGUUUGAAAAAUGCAUUUUUUUAUUUUUACGUAUCUUUCUUUUUCCUUUGCGCUAAUCAACAUAUAAUAACCAGUAUAUUAACGCAUUUCAUUUAAUGUGAUUGUGAACGACACACCCGAUAUAUUAUUUUAAGCAUAUCGUGUAGACGAAUAUAACACUACUACCUUUAAUCCACCUUUAAGUAGGACCUUGAAAAAACGUUAUUACAAAACGCAGUUUAUCGCAAGUCCUAUUACUAUCUGUAGUACAAAAGAUAAACCAUCGAGCCCCCUAGUUUAACUGCAGUACUUAGUCGACAAACGUCAAAUUCCGACAUUAAUUACUUUUGAGGUUAUUUGUUUUGUGAUGAAAAAAACGAAAGUGGAUAUAAAUAUGUGUGAUUUGGAAUACUUGGAUGUGUUAGAGUGCCUAUUGAGAGUGCCCGGGGACCCAACAGAAUGCGUCAUCGACAAAAUCUCUUCAAAUUACCUGACGACAAUUUUCGAUAUAAAUAUCGAUUUACGUUUUUCGAAAUAAUAGUCAAUUGAAUGCAUGAUGAUAAUCCAGGAUGAUUCUAUGAUGCUCAACUGGGCUCGCCAUAAAAUUCAAGACUAUUUUGGCGUUUUGCACGCCGUAUCUCUGCCAGUAAUAUGCAAUGUUUGUAAAAGACUGGAAGCUUGCUAAAAUGUACAAAAAUGCCUAGAUGAGAAAGGGAACAAGAUUGUGUGAUGAAGAACAGUGUCCAACAUGUAUCAGUGCAUUUGACUGUAUAAAUAGACAUCGGAAUAAAAUAUAAUUUUCUACUUU